CGACAGACGAGUGAAUUUAAAAUGUUUAAAUGAAAAAAUUAGCCCAGUUCAUUUGAAAUGGAAAAAGUAGGUGGCUGAAAAUGGAAAACACAAUGUGUGUGUGUGUGUGUGCGUGUGUUUGCGUGUGUGUGUGUGUGUGUGUGUGUGUGUGUGUGUGUGUGUGCAUGUGUGUGUGUGCAUGUGUGUCUGUGUGUGUGUGUGUGUGUGCAUUUGUGUGUGUGCAUGAGCUUGCGUGUACGGGGCGGUGUACGGACAGUGGAGUGUGUUAUAACUGUGUGUGUGUGUGUGUGUGCGUGCGUGCGUGCGUGUGUGUGUGUGUGUAUCUGUGUGUGUGUGUGUGUGUGUGUGCGUGCGUGCGUGUGUGUGUGUGUAGGCUGGCGGUACGGGGCGGUCUACGGGCGAUGGGGUGUGUUUCCAGGUGAGUGUGUCCAGCCGGUCGCCGCUCCAGACUUCCUGGUUCUCCCUGCUGAGAGGGCGGAGCCUCGCGACAGACACGGCCGUGUUGCCGCCUCCGCUGCGAUCGCCGUGGCGAUGGGCUCUACUGUCGCCGCCCAUGAACUGGACCUCAACACAGAGGUACACACACACACACACACACACAGAUACACACACACACACACGCACACACGCACACACACGCAAGCUCAUGCACACACACAGACAUGUUACAUGCAGACAUGCGUACAUUCACUCUCUAAUGUUCUCUGUGUGUGUGUGUGUCUGUCUGUGUGUGUGUGUGUUUGUAUCUGUGUGUGUGUGUGCGUGUGUGUGCGUGUGCGUCAGGCUGUGGUAGGCUAUGGUGAAGACAGCAGUAGUCUCCAUGUGGAAGGGCUCCCUCUACAGGCCAGUCAGUAUAACAUGGAGGAAUUCUCCAGGAAGUACUACAGACGGACUCAGAGACACGGAGACCAGCUGAAAACCAGGAAGGGGAAGGAGAGCAGAGAACCAGCUGACAUGGUUAAAUACUCUAAGUCCCCUCUCCAGGAGUCUCUGAUAGACUUCACAGACAGCAACAUGAACAAGGUAGCAGCUGACAUCUCCCUGGGUAAGAUGGAGACAACACUGUUCCCAAAUGGAACCCUAUUCCCUACAUAGUACACUACUUUUGACUAGAGCUCA
rnacentral:lncRNA from 1 species